rnacentral:sRNA from 1 species
GCGGAGGGAGCGGCGGGAUGGACCGCAGGUGAGGCCGAUCGCUCUUCCAGGGACUACAGGAGGCUGGGGAGGACCAAGGGCGAGAGCAGCACAGCCUAGGGACGGGCUGGAUAGGGUCUGGAGUCGCUAGAGCUCCACUGCAUUGGAACUACAAUUCCCAACAUGCUCCACAGCCGUUGGCCGCUCCAGCCGUAGCCUUUAGCAUCCCGGGGGGUCCCCUAAGAGUCUUAUGUUCCUCUCUGAGUGGCCCCCAAGGAAUUAUUUCCUCUAAAGGUGUCCAAGAAAGGCUUGAGAUCUGAAUUUCUUCAUUUUGAAAUGGCCCCCAGACACGCCUGGGCGUUGUCUUUGAACUUUGUCACGGAGGCGGAGCCCAGUGGAUCCUGGGGCUUGUAGUCCAUCUACCCUUUGCCUUCAUGUCCCCAAGAAUGUAUGGGAAAUGCUCGGUGAUAUAAUCCAGCCGCGGUUCUUUUUUUUUUUUUUUUUCUUUAAGACAGAGUCUCUCGCUCUGUUGGCCCAGACUGGAGUGCAGUGGCACAAUCUUGGCUACUGCAACCUCUGCCCCCUGGGUUAAAGCAAUUCUCAUGCCUCAGCCUCCCAAGUAGCUGGGACUACAAGCACCUGCCACCGCGCCUGGCUAAUUUUUUAUAUUUUUAGUAGAGACGGGGUUUCGCCAUGUUGGUAAGGCUGGUUUCGAACUCCUGACCUCAAGUGAUCCACCCGACUUGGUGUAAUCCCAAAGUGCUGGGAUUAUAAUAGAUAUUCUGAUUCUGUUGGUCUGGAAUGGGAACCGCGCGCCUGGAACGUUGAAAAGCCCCUCCUAGACUGGAUCCAGGGUUGAGAACCACCGGCUGUCAGUUCCUGAGUUGCUCCCUGUUAAGACUGCACCAGGGGCGGGCUCCCAGGACUCACCCUUCCACUGUCGCUAUCAUGAAUGUGCAGCGGUGCUUCAUGAAAAUGACAGUCCCUCUCCUCCAGGAAUCUAUGGGAAUUGUCUGGUUCUGGCCUCCUCUAAUGUCCCCCUCCCCAGGGCUGCGGCGAAACCACGUGCUGCCUGAACCCCACUUUCCUCUUGCAGCCUGCCAGUUUUCUCCAUUCAAGAUAGUCCCUUUGGAGAUGCGCCCCUGGGUCGAAGCCACUACUGGCCAUCCCGGAGCCAGACCUGGUGUCCCAAGGUGAGGACACCCCUCAAAGAGUGCUGAGUGCCAGCCCAGUAGCAAGAGAAUGACCUUUAGAGGGUAGGAAGACAUGUGAUGAGAGAUAGGGAUGAGAGAUUUAAUAGACAGCCCCUUCUCCCCUCCCCACAGCCCUGCCCUUGUCCCCCUCUCUACCACCUGGAUUCCCCAUCUGAGCCCCCAUCACACUAGGUUGUUAUCAUUACAGGAUGUGUUUCCUCCCCUCUGGACUGAGACUUUGUGUGUGUCUUGGUUCCCCUGCAGGGAUGACCCAUCAGAUCUCACACUUUUUCUUUUUGUGCUCUUCCCUGAUCUUAGACCCUGAACCCAUCCAGGUCUCAGAGAUCCAGGCUCCCACAAGCUCCCAAGCCUCUAGCCACAGGUCCCAACUCCCCUGAGCUGUUUGAGGAGUCCUGGCCAUCCAGUUCAGGGACCCCUUCCCCACCCAGCACCACUGAGGGACAGAUGGGGGCCUCCCCAGCACCCACCCUGAUUGACAGAGGGGACUCCGUGGUGGCCAAGUAUAUAAACAGGUUCCGCCAGGCUCAGCCCACCAGUCGAGAGGAGCGCCAGCCUGCAGGCCCAACCCCAGCUGACUUUUGGUGGCUGCGGUCUGACUCUCCAGACCCCAGCAGUCAAAGUGCAGCAGCAGGAGCCAACAAACCAGAAGGAAGACCCCAUACAGCUGUCCCUACUGCGGUCAACGUGACCAGUGCAUCCCACGCUGUGGCUCCCCUUCAGGAAAUAAAGCAGGUGACAUCCCCAUUCACUCCCUCCCUUGGGUGCCUGAACUGACAACACCAGCCCUAGGAUAGAACUAGAAGAUCAGGAGCAGUGGCUCACACCUGUAAUCCCAGCACUUUGGGAGGCCAAGGUGAAAGGACUGCUUGAGGCCAGGAGUUCAAGACCAGCUUAGGUGACAUGGUGAGAUUCUGCCUCUACUAAAAAAAAAAAAAAAAAAAAAAAAAAAAAAAGAGAGAGCCAGGUGUGAAUGUACCUGUAAUCCCAGCUACUUGAGAGCCUGAGGCUGGAGGAUGGCUUGAGCCUAGGAGUUCAAGGCUGCUGUGAGCUAUGAUCGUACCACUGCACUCCAGCCUGGGCAAUAGAGCAAGACCCUGUCUCUAUUUAAAAAAAAAAAAAAAGGCUGGGCACCAUGGCUCACGCCUAUAAUCCCAGCACUUUGGGAGGCUGAGGCAGGCAGAUCACGAGGUCAGAAGUUCAGGACCAGCCUGACCAACAUGGUGAAACCCCGUCUCUACUAAAAAUACAAAAAUUAGCCGGGUGUGGUGGUACACACCUGUAAUCCCAGCUACUCAGGAGCCUGAGGCAGGAGAAUCGCUUGAACCCGGGAGGCGGAGGUUGCAGUGAGCCGAGAUAGCGCCAGCGCACUCCAGCCUGGCAACAGCAAGACUCCAUCUC